AACGAACGCUGGCGGCAGGCUUAACACAUGCAAGUCGAACGCCCCGCAAGGGGAGUGGCAGACGGGUGAGUAACGCGUGGGAACAUACCCUUUCCUGCGGAAUAGCUCUGGGAAACUGGAAUUAAUACCGCAUACGCCCUACGGGGGAAAGAUUUAUCGGGGAAGGAUUGGCCCGCGUUGGAUUAGCUAGUUGGUGGGGUAAAGGCCUACCAAGGCGACGGUCCAUAGCUGGUCUGAGAGGAUGAUCAGCCACAUUGGGACUGAGACACGGCCCAAACUCCUACGGGAGGCAGCAGUGGGGAAUAUUGGACAAUGGGCGCAAGCCUGAUCCAGCCAUGCCGCGUGAGUGAUGAAGGCCUUAGGGUUGUAAAGCUCUUUCACCGGUGAAGAUAAUGACGGUAGUCGGAGAAGAAGCCCCGGCUAACUUCGUGCCAGCAGCCGCAGUAAGAC
rnacentral:rRNA from 1 species